UUCCUCUCACGCAUCAUUGGUUGGUAGGUCAGCACUAACUCCGCCCAAUACUCACUGGACGAGAUGCUUAGCGAGAUGUCUCUUCCCGGUGUUGCCUGUAGUGUAGUAGCCUAGUGUUUAAGCAGGGACGCAACUCAACACCCGCUUGUGUAGCCACCGAUACUAGCUACAAAGAAAGGUGUAACAUAUUUCUCAGAACCAUUCAAGAGGGACAGCCUCUUUAUAAUUACACUGCAGUUGAUCAAAGAUGGGAUAUGUCCUGUAGUUUACUAGUAUUUCUUCGGUGCAAUUUUUGUAGCCCAACUCAGAGGCUACCCUUCACUGAAAAUAUUUGGCCGUUUUACGUUUGGUAAGACAAUUGCAGUCGCGAAUAGAGUGGAGCAAAGAACACCUCAGCAAGUUCACCUGACCGAGGAACAAAAGGGCCAUUUAUUUGAAAGAGGAUCGCUGCUCUGGGAUGUUAUUGUGGAGGGGUGGAGGACAGACUGAAGGAGCAUGGUGAAGCACCAGCCGCUGCAGGUCUAUGAGAGGCAGCUCUGUUUGUCAUGUCUGACGGGGAUCUACGGAUGCCGCUGGAAACGCUAUCAGCGGUCACAUGAUGACACUACCAAGUGGGAGUUCCUGUGGUCCUUCAUCUUGUUUGUUACCUUCUCCUUGCUGCUGAUCUGGUUCUACUUCUGGUGGGAAGCCCACAAUGACUACAAUGAGUUUAACUGGUUUUUAUAUAACCGUUCAGGAGAGUGGAGCGAUGGGACAGUUCCAAUCCUGGCCACCACUGCAGCUGGCUUUACAUACAUAGCCUUUUUAAUGAUCUUAGCUCUGUGCCAUGUGGCUGUGGGACAGCAGCUCAACCUGCACUGGCUCCACAAGAUUGGUGUGAUUGCCGCCCUGCUGACCACCAUCAUUGGUGUCAUCGCAGUCAACCAGAUGUGGGGGGAGGAGUGGGACAUCAUCAACAUCUCACUACAGGCCACAGGUCCAUUCCUGCACAUCGGUGCACUGGCAGCAGUGACGGCUUUGUCCUGGCUGGUGGCAGGACAGGUGGCACGGGCGGAGAAAACACGGUUCCAGGUGCUGGUCAUGGUGCUGUAUCUUAGUGUGCUGCUGGCUCUCUACAUGGCCCCCCUUUCCAUCACCUCCCCCUGCAUCAUGGACCAGAGCAGUCUCAAGCCAGCGCCCCAUAUCAUUGGCCAUCAGGGUGCCCCCAUGCUGGCCCCAGAGAACACGGCCCUGUCCUUCCAGAGGGCACUGCGUCUCAACGUCAGCGGCCUGGAGGGAGACGUCACCAUCAGUCUGGAUGGUGUGCCCUUCCUGAUGCGGGACAGCACCCUCAGGAGGACCACAGAUGUGGAGCAAAUGUUUCCUGAGCGGCAGUUUGAUGAUGCAUCCCUCUUCAACUGGACAGACCUUCUCUCUCUCAACGCAGGCCACUGGUUCAUCAAGGAUGACCCCUUCUGGACGGUGCAGUCGAUGUCUCCGCGGGAGCUGCGGCAGGUGGAGAGCCAGCGUGUGUGCAGUCUGCAGCACAUGCUCCGCCUGGCCGCCUCCUCCAACCGCACGGCCAUUCUCCGCCUGCGCCGGCCCCCGCCCCAGCACCCCCGCCACCAGACCUGGCUCAACGACACCCUGGGGAGCAUCCGCCUGUCUGGGAUCCCUCAGCACAUGGUGAUGUGGACGGAGGAGUGGGGGAGGGGGUUUGUGGAGGCGGCGGCUCCAGGCUUCCAGCAGACGUCUCUGGAGAAGCGUCCGGUGGAGGAGCUGCAUCAGAGGGGCAUCAGCCACCUGCUCCUGCGCUACAACCAGGCCAACGAGCGCGACAUCCGGGAGUUCUCCAGUCACAACAUCAGCCUGACGCUGUACACGGUGAAUGAGCCAUGGCUCUUCUCUCUGCUCUGGUGCAGCGGGGUGUCCUCCAUCUCUUCAGAGGCCCCACACAUCCUGCUCAAGAUGCACGCCCCCGUCUGGCUCAUGAGUCCGGAUGAGUACUGUCUGAUUUGGAUUGCCACAGAUGUCAUCUCCUUUGCCGUCGUGCUUGGAGUGUUCGUGUUCCAAAACUUUCACAUGAUCAGGUGGCGGAUGAGUGGCAUGCGCAGCUACAACCCGGAGCAGAUCAUGUUAAGUGCAGCCGUUAGGAGGUCCAGCCGGGAUGUCAACAUCAUGAAGGAGAAACUCAUCUUCUCUGGUGUGUGUGUGUGUGUCUGUGUUUGUGUGGGUGUAUGGAUGUGUCUGCCUAGGGCAUGCUUCUCUCUGAGUGUUCCUGAAUAUCCCCACACCCCACCUAAAGGUCAGCCGCAGCUGUGAGAGAGAGAGUCGCUCUGAGCACCUCGUUCCAUAUCUAUGGCUGAAUCUUUCCUUUCAACUGACCUUCAUUCAUUCAUCCAUCCAUCCAUCCAUGUAUCCAUGUGUGCUCCCCUCCAUCUCUCCAUCCAUCAGUCCAUCCUUUGUUCCAUCCCUUCCUCGUGUGUGCCUCUCGCGGCCUCACCUUCUCUGAGUGUGUUGCCCCGCGCGGGGUGGUUAGAGAGGUGAGCAAUGGAGUUGGUGGUGCAGACGACCUCUACAUGGAAAACGGCUUUGACUGCUACACCAACCAAGGCACUGAUUGACAGGUGUUCAGUACUGAACACGCUCUACUGAAGGACUCACUACUGGCAGAACAGCAGACGCCCCAUUGCUGUCCGGUUCCUCUUGUGCUGCUGACCAAAUAAGGGACUUCUACGAAAGAACGAAAUAUGGGUAUCACCCAAUGCUCUGUAUAUUUUGUAAAAUAUGAAGAAUGUUUUUUUUGUCAUUAUUAUUAUUAUUAUUAUUAUUAUUAUUAUCUUUUGUUUGCUUUUGGUGAAGUCAUGACACUGCAUUGUGUGAGAGGUUUGCCUUCUUUAAAGUGUUUUAUCUGAUCUAGCCUCUUGUCUCGGACAGACUAGAUUCUCCAGCAGUAGAUUUAACCUUUAGUAUGCACGCACUGGAAGACCAUAGGAGUCUAUCUUUUCCUUUGAGGUAAUUACUGUACAGUGUUGUGUGUGUGUGAACACACAGAAGCAGCGUGAGCAUGCUAUUCUCAGUCCAACACGUCUGUUUGAAGCUGAAACGGACUGGAAGAACAAAUGGGAAAAUCCGAACUGGCCAGGUAUAGACUCCCCAAGGGGAACAAAGACAUUUGAUCCUGUCAACAGACAUUCUCCCCCUCUCCCCUGUGCAUGUGAUCCACAUAUCAAGAGGAGCCAAUAAUGCUGUUUCCCCUUCCCCAAAUGGACCUGUUUGAAUGUGUUUGUGGUUUUGUUUUUAACUGAACUCUUGACAUUGUUGUUAUUCUGGUGGCUAGAGGGUUGGAACUGGUUGUGUGCAGUCGUGUCGGAUCUGAGGGGAACAACACCCCUAUCCAGUUCCUCCCCAUUAUUCUUCUGGGACGGGAACUCGGGUUUGACUGAAGUGUUGAACACCAGGCCAGCCACUGAAACCUGAAGAUCCUGAUUUGGAACAGGACUAGUGCUCGUGUGAUGGUAGGACCAGGGCACACCAGAAAUCAGAAAUCGCAAGCAAAUCCCUCCGUUCUUCAUUCUUAUGGUAUUGAUGUGCCUCAGAAGUCGAUGAUUAAAAGCCUCUUAUAAACGGA